UGUGAAGAUCUCCUGCAGUUACGCCUUUCCUUAUUAGCGAAAUGAUGUAGUCCAUGAAGGCUGAAUCACAAGGUAAUGUAAUAGGACCACCACUCGGAAGCCCAAAUUCUUCUUCGGACAUGUUCAAGAGUUGCCUAAUGACUUCAUUUUCAAGGUAAACCAAUGGAAUGACAAAGCGAGCUUGAUCAGCAGUGUAUACUACAAAAUAUCCUUUUUCAACUAUAGACGAUGAAGACGUACUACAAUCAUCUGCAUCACUAACAUUUCUUGAAAAUGAAAUCCUCUUCCUCUGCAUGGCUGCAAACUUUUGCCAUUUCCUAGCCAUUUUGAUGAGUUUCUUGGUACUGAUCAUUGCCAUUUGUUUUGUUUGGAAGAUUGGAAACAAGAAAGUAAAUAAAAAAUUUAGAGACUUUUGAUGGCUGAGUUGAUAAUGCUUAAGCUUGAUGAUGAAAAGGCUCAUGGAAGAUGAUUAUUUAUACAAGAGGAGCUGAUAAGUUUGUAAGGCAAAGCCAUGUGCUGAUGCCUGUUGGCCAUGUUAAUAUGGGGCCUUAAAUUUGUGGAUGAUGAGUUUCUUCCUUUCUUCUCUAGGCCUACUUGGUAUUUCUCAGCGAUGCCAAUAAUUUGAGACUAUUAAAUGAACAAUUGCUGGUGAGAAGCAAAAUCAUGUUCUUCUCACUUCUUUGUCAUGUAGAUAGGUGACCUUAAGAUUUUCAUCUUGGCAUCAACUUCAUCAAUCCUUGUCGAUUUUAUUUUAGGUGUAUCCGUAAAAUAAAAUUGGGGCCUUAUGUUGUUUUUCAACAAAUUUAUUGUCUGAAUACUUGACAAUAACAGGGUAAGCAAAGCCAUGUGAAGCUUCAUGUGCUAUUGUCUCUCAACAGUGGCAACCAAAUCCUCUUCACCAUUAAACUUGGAUAUGAAACUUACCACUAACUUUGUAUAUAUAACAUCCAUAGAAAGUUUUUUAUGCAAAACACAAGUCUCACUCGCUGUGUAUUACUCAAAAUCCUUCAGUCUUUUUCAUUUAAAGUCAUCAUUUGAAGUUACAAAAGUAUCCCCCUAUGGGUAUCAAAAUGAGUCCCCUUAUUCAAGGAACUAAAAUCUUGAGGAGGUUUUCAAACUCCAAAGGUGUUCCACAAGGACAUUGUGCAGUAUAUGUAGGAGAGAGCCUGAAGAAGAGGUUCGUUGUGCCAAUAUCUUACUUGAGCCAGCCUUUAUUUCAAGACUUGUUAACUCAAGCAGAAGAACAGUUUGGCUUCGAUCAUCCAAUGGGCUGUCUCACAAUACCUUGCAAAGAAGACGUGUUUGUUGAUCUCACAUCCCGCUUGAGAUCAUGAAUUGUAUCAAAGUGCAAAUUCUCUUGCACAUGAAAUUUUGUAGAGUAGUAGACUUAGAUAUUAGAAUUAGGAGAUACAAAAGAUACAAAGAGGAAGUUUUAAUGUAUAGUUCAGAAACACAAAAUCAAUAGAAAUUGUUUCCAUUAUCAAUUUAUGAAUAGCAGAAGUGUCUUUUUCUUAUAAUCACUUAUUUUGCUUAUCUUUUCUUAUACAAUGCUGUUAUUCAUUUAGAAUUGCACUGUGUGGAGGAAACUAGCACAUCCAAGAAAGUAUCGUUUUAGCGGAAUGAGAAUGACAUCUGUGAUAAGUAACAAGAAAUUACGUAGCGGAACCAACUCAUCAGCUUUAUCUAUACUUGAGGCUUUAAAAUUUAGGAUGUCCUUGAUUCCAAGUUAUGAGAACUGAGAAGCAAUGUGGGCUACUAUUCAACAAGUUUAGUGUCUGUAUAUUUGGAUAAACUUUUGGAUGUAAGAUUUGCCAUAAACUUAUUCAUACACAGUACAAACACUUUCCUUUUCUGUGCAUUUCUCAAGAUUAUGUGUUUCUUGUUUAUUCGUAGAUCAUCAGUUAGAGUUAAAAAUUAUAUCUUGAAAAAAGGGGAACUGUCAAAUAACUUCACUUAUUCAAUCUAAUCGAAUUUUAAGGAUAUCUUUAGUUGUUCUAAUAUCAUACUUGAGUCUUCCUUUAGAUUUCAAGACUUGUUAGCUCAUACUGUUUUAUCACCUAAUUGCUUCUGAAAAUACCACAAAAUGUUAACACUUGAUGCUAACUUAGAAGACAAGCCGUGAGAUACUUCAGCAAAGCCUCAUUAGAACAUACAUAAAAGGAGGUAUAGUUGAUUGAUUGAUCAUUUAGACCUUAUUCGAUCAAGGAGGUACCACAGUAAGUGAAAUGCUUGUGAUAAACAAAGUGGUGUUAAUACAUAAGUGGUACCAAUUCAGGAUCAGAUUGUUAAGUCUACUCAUAACCAAAUGUAAAAGUGAAAAAUUUGAAUAUAUACGGUAAAUUUUCUUAUAAAUUAAUAUUCAAUCUGUAUGAUGUUCUUUACAAUUGUGUUCUUCAGUCUAUGCUGUAUCUAAAAACUAUUUUGAGCUAUCAUGUAUUGAAAACGAUGUUGAUUAUAACUCAACAAACAAGAAGUAGUUGGUUUCCACUUUCUAGGUGUGAAUAUGAAGUUGAAUAGCAACAUGAAGGAAUUGAGAGGAGCAACUCUUUGUGAAGAUCUCCUGCAGUUACGCCUUUCUUAACAAGCGAAAUGAUGUAGUCCAUGAAGGCUGAAUCACAAGGUAAUGUAAUAGGACCACCACUCGGCAGCCCAAAAUUCUUCUUCGGCAUGGUUUAAAAGUUGCUGAAUGGACUCAUUUUCAAGAUAAGCCUAAGGGAAUCACAAAGCGUACUUGAUCGAUUGUAUAUAAUACAAAAUGGCCUUUUUCAACAAUAGAGGAUGCAGAUGUACUGCAACUGUCUGCAUCAAUACCAUUUCUUGGAAAUGAAAUCCUCUUCCUCUGCAUGGCUGCAAACUUCUGCCAUUUCCUAACCAUUUUGAUGAGUUUCUUAGUACUGAUUAUUGCCAUUUUUUUGUUUGGAAGAUUGGAAAAAAGAAAGUAAAUAAGAGAAACUUUUGAUGGCUGAAUUGAUAAUGCUUGUGCUUGAUGAUGAAAAGGCUCAUGAAAGAGGGCUUAUUUAUACAAGAGGAGCUGAUAAGUUUGUUAGGCAAAGCCAUGUGCUAAUGCCUGUUGGCCAUGUUGAUAUGGGGCCUAAGAUUUGUGGACGAAGCUACUUUGAAAAUAAAAGAUGAUAAGUUUCUUUGAUCAACAACCACUAGGCCUACUUGGUAUUUCUCAGCAAGUAUGUAAUAAUUUGAGAACAUUAAAUGAACAAUUGCAGGUGAGAAGCAAAAUCAUGUUCUGCCCUCUUCUUUGUCAUGUAGAUAGGUAACCUUUAGAUUUUCAUCUUGGCAUCAACUUCAUCAAUCCUUAUCAAUUUUAUUUUAGGUGUAUCCGUAAAAUAAAAUUAGGGCCUAAUGUUGGUUUUCAACAAAUUUAUUGUCUGAAUACUUGACAAUAAUAGGGUAAGCAAAGCCAUGUGAAGCUUUAUGUGUUGUUGUCUCUCACCAGUGGCCACCAAAUUUUCUUCACAUUUAAUUUGGAUAUCAAACUUACCACUAACUUUGUAUAUAUACACAUACAUAAAAAGUUUUUUUAAGCAAAACACAAAUCUCACUUACUGUGUAUUACUCAAAAUCCUUCAUUCUUUUUCUUUUUAGCUCAUCAUUUGAAGUUGCAAAAUUAUCUCGCAAUGGGUAUCAAAAUGAGUCCCCUUAUUCAAGGUACUAGAAUCUUGAGGAGGUUUUCAAAUUCCGGAGGUGUUCCAAAAGGACAUUGUGCAGUAUAUGUAGGAGAGAGCCAGAAGAAGAGGUUCUUUGUGCCAAUAUCUUACUUGAGUCAGCCUUUAUUUCAAGACUUGUUAACUCAAGCUGAAGAACAGUUUGGCUUCGAUCAUCAAAUGGGUGGUCUAACAAUACCUUGCAAGGAAGACGUGUUUGUUUAUCUCAUAUCCCGCUUGAGAUCAUGAAUUGUAUCAUAGUGCAAAUUGUCUUGCACAUGAAAUUUUGUAGAGUAGUAGACUUAGAUAUUAGAAAUAGGAGAUACAAAAGAUACAAAGAGGAAGUUUUAAUGUAUAGUUCAGAAACACAAAAUCAAUAGAAAUUGUUUCCAUUAUCAAUUUAUGAAUAGCAGAAGUGCUUUUUCUUAUAAUCACUAUUUUGCUUAUCUUUUCUUAUACAAUGCUGUUAUUCAUUUAGAAUUGUACUGUGUGGAGGAAACUAGCACAUCCAAGAAAGUAUCGUUUUAGCGGAAUGAGAAUGACAUAUGUGAUAAGUAACAAGAAAUUACGUAGCGGAACCAACUCAUCAGCUUUAUCUAUACUUGAGGCUUUAAAUUUUUAGGAUGUCCUUGAUUCCAAGUUAUGAGAAUUGAGAAGCAAUGAGGGCAACUAUUCAACAAGUUUAGUGUCUGUAUAUUUGGAUAAACUUUUGGAUGUAAGACUUGCCAUAAACUUAUUCAUACACAGUGCAAAAACUUUCCUUUUCUGUGCAUUUCUCAAGAUUAUGUGUUUCUUGUUUAUUCUUAGAUCAUCAGUUAGAGUUAAAAAUCAUAUCUUGAAAGAAGGGGAACUAUCAAAUGACUCCACUUAUUCAAUCUAAUCGAAUUUUAAGGAUGUCUUUAGUUGUUCUAAUAUCAUACUUGAGUCUUCCAUUAGAUUUCAAGACUUGUUAGCUCAUAUUGUUUUAUCACCUAAUUGCUUCUGAAAAUACCACGAAAUGUUAACACUGGAUGCUAUCUUAGAAGACAAGCCGUGAGAUACUUCAGAUGCCGCUGUCUCUCAUCUCUGCCACCCUAAUGCAGAUACUUCAGCAAAGCCUCAUUAGAACAUACAUAAAAGGAGGCAUAGUUGAUUGAUUGAUCAUAUAGACCUUAUUCGAUCAAGGAGGUACCACAGUAAGUGAAAUUCUUGCAAUAAAUAAAGUGGUGUUAAUACAGAAGUGGUACCAAUUCAGGAUCAGAUUGUUAAGUCUACUCAUAACCAAAUGUAAAAGUGAAAGCUUUGGUUAUAUAUGGUAAAUUUUCUGAUAAAAUAAUAAUCAAUCUGUAUGAUGCGCUUUACAAUUGUGUUCUUCAGUCUAUGUUGUAUCUAAAAACUAUUUUGAGCUAUCAUGUAUUAAAAAAGAUGUUGAUUAUAACUCAACAAACAAGAAGUAGUUGGUUUCCACUUUCUUGGUGUGAAUAUGAAGUUGAAUAGCAACAUGAAGGAAUUGAGAGGAGCAACGCUUUGUGAAGUUCUCCUGCAGUUACGCCUUUCUUAACGAGCGAAAUGAUGUAGUCCAUGAAGGCUGAAUCACAAGGUAAUGUAAUAGGACCACCACUCGGCAGCCCAAAUUCUUCUUCGGACAUGUUUAAAAGUUGCUGAAUGGACCUCAUUUUCAAGAUAAGCCAAGGGAAUCACAAAGCGUACUUGAUCGAUUGUAUAUACUACAAAAUGGCCUUUUUCAACAAUAGAGGAUGCAGAUGUACUGCAACUGUCUGCAUCACUACCAUUUCUUGGAAAUGAAAUCCUCUUCCUUUGCAUGGCUGCAAACUUCUGCCAUUUCCUAACCAUUUUGAUGAGUUUCUUAGUACUGAUUAUUGCCAUUUUUUUGUUUGGAAGAUUGGUAAAAAGAAAGUAAAUAAGAGAGAUUUUUGAUGGCUGAAUUGAUAAUGCUUGUGCUUGAUGAUGAAAAGGUUCAUGAAAGAGGGCUUAUUUAUACAAGAGGAGCUGAUAAGUUUGUUAGGCAAAGCCAUGUGCUGAUGCCUGUUGGCCAUGUUCAUAUGGGGCCUUAAAUUUGUGGAUGAAGCUAGUUUGAAUAUAAAAGACGAUAAAUUUCUUCGUUUCUUCUCGCCGAUGCCAAUAAUUUGAAACCAUUAAAUGAACAAUUGCUUGAAAAAAGCAAAACCAUGUUCUGCUCUCUUCUUUGUCAUGUAGGUAGUGUUGACACCCAAUUUUGACCCUCCCCAAUAUAGAUUGAUCAUCGAGUUUCUCCAAUUUUAAACGAUUUAAGAUAAUUACUUCUCUUUUUUUUUUUUAAAAAAAAAAAAGUUCAAUAAAAAAUAAAAAUAGUUCGCCAAGUUAUUUUAAAUAAGUUUUGUCGCUUAUUAUAAUUUUUAGAUAAUAUAUAUGUUUUACAUAAUUAUGUAUAUAAUUAGUAUAUUUUAUGAAUAUUUGAAAAUCAUCUAAAAAAAAAAAAAGGUCUUAAUUUUAUAUUUUUUGAGUUAAUUAAUUUAUAAGUAAGUUAAUUAUCUUAUUUCGUAGAAAUUAAGAAGCUCGUUAAUUAAUCAAUAUUAAUUCAUGUUAUAAUAAAUCUUAGUCAAAUUCUCUAAAUUAACUAAAUUUGGCUAACUUCUUAAUUUCCAUUGGCCAUAAUUGUAAUUCUUGUGGCCAUUUUUUUAUUUACAAUUCUAGCCCUACCUUAACUCAUUUUUAAGAACCAUUUUGGGCCAUUUCUUAAUACCAAAAAUUGGCCCAAUUCCCUUUAUAACCCAGGCCCAACAAUUCUCCAAUGGCCAGCAGUCCACCAUUCCAAUAAUUCCAUACAUUACAUUCAACAAUAAUACAUACAGAAAACGAAAAAAAAAAAAAAAAACAACGUGACCCCACCUCCCCAACUUCAUCUUCUCUACGGCAAAGCAACCCAGUACUGUUGUAGCAGUGCGAUUCAGGCAACCAGGCACGCGGAAUCGUCCUCACCAGCACGAGAUAAGGCCACGUUGCACCCAAGGACGUUGGAAUCGAUCCAAGGCGUCCAUCUCCCCUUUCCUCUUCCGGAAAGGGGCAAAUUCCUCAGAAAAAGUUGUCUCUCCGGAAUUGUGAAAGAUUUCUUUUGAAGUUUGAAAUUCAAAUGGACCCUUGAGCCGAUUCUCAUCCGGAUUCCCCCCAAAAUUUGCCCUAAUUUCCCCAUAUAAAUAGCUCAUUUCUUCUUCAUCGGGAAAAGGGGGGAAAAAUUGGAAAAAAUACAGAGGAAAAAAUUGAAAAUUUUACAGAGAAGGGAAACUCUUAAGCUACAAAAGUUAUUUCAAGAAUACACUUAAAAAAAAAAAAAAACUUUUUUCAUUUUCCUUCUCCCUCGUUCGCUGGUUGCUGAAAUUUACAGAGGCUCAUUAGAGUUCUUUUGUGGUCGUGGAAGUUCGUCUCCGCUCAUUCUCGUCUCAAGUUCGCUGCCCGUAAGAAGGUGAAAACCUCUCCUUUUAGUUCUGCUCAUUUGACCUUUAGUUGUUCUUCAUUGCUUCUGAUUAUGUGUUUAACUCAGACCCCUCAGUCCGGGUCAAAAUUUUACUUGACGAUUAGUUCGUAUCAGUAUGGAUAGGCAUAUACAAUGUUUCGUCUUUCUUUUCCUCGGAUUCCUUUUCUUUUCUUCCUUCUUGUGUCUAUCUGAUUGUGCUUUUACAAAAAAAAUAAAAUGGUUAGUUUGCUUUGAUAUAUUUGGGGGUCCAAUCUUGCUAUAGUUUAUUAUCACUUUCAGUUCAUAGUUUUGUUAGUUUUUCCCCUUCUUUACAUGAUAAUCCUCGUUUGGUUUGUGUUGUCUCUUUUCGUUUGAGCCUAGCCGGUUGUCUUUUGUAAGACCAUUUUAAAGGAGUUUUGAAACAGGGUUAAUCUUAUGCUUCUCAUGAAUAUCUUGCAGUAAGUAGGCUGAUCUCGGUUCGAAGUAUAUGUUUUGCAUUUCACUAUUUAUUGAUGUAUCUUUAGUCAUUUGAUGGUCAGACAUUUUUAUGAUAAAGUUAGAAGCAUUUUGCGUUGGCUCAUCUUAAUCUUGUGAUGUAACUUGCACAAAGCUAUUUCAAAUAUGAUCUAUAGGUUGAGGUUUGUUUGUUCAGCAUGAGUUUUGGUCCGAUAUGAUGUUGUCUAGUUGGGAGGAAGCAAUAUGCAUUUGUUCUCACUCGCUUGGCCUCCGGAGGUACAUCAUGUUUAGUCACGAAUGGCUCUGUUUGCCUUAGUUUCUCUUCAUGUGUCAUGAAUUUGCGCUAGUAGUCGGUGUUCCAUGUUAUGUCACUCUUCGCCUUAGCUAAAUGCGUGAACUAGGACCCGUAGCUAUUCGAGUUUAGCUUGCUUGUUUGUUUAGAAUUAUAUGUCCACCUUAUUUUAAUUUUCAUGUCUCGCAAUCUAAGUGUUGCUUCAUGUAUGUGGAAAUGAACCCGCUUUACUUAGAAGGAGAAAUAUUCGAUGCAAGGCGAGAGUUUUGUUUUGUUUUACACGGGAAAGCAUGUCUUAACUUGAAUUUGGAAGUAUUUUGUUCACCUAAUCUAGUUAUUUAAUUCAUUAGGAUAUGUCACUGUUUUUUUUCCUCAUAUUAUUAAAAAUAUAAAAUAAGAAUAAAAAUUAUCUAAUUAAACUCACGUGAUUAAUAUUAAUAGUCUAGGGAUAUUGAAUUUGGUCCAUUUGACUUUUGCUCUUCUACUGCUCACUGCACCACAUACAUAAAAAUAUUAAGUCUUCAUGGUUUUUUGCCUUUACUUUAUUGUUUGAAUGUUGUACUGUUAACGUGUGAUCGGAGUGUGCUUGUUUUUUUUUUUAUGUUAUUUUCAUUUGUUUAUUUUUGUUUUAUGUACUCUUUAUUUUUAUUUUAUUUUUUAUCUUAUCCCUUCAUUUUCCUCCCCAAUGCUAAUUCUAUAUUUCGUUUGUCGUUUUGCAUGUAAAAUCCGUCCAAGUCCUCACGGACUGUACCUUUGCAUUUACAAGGGGAGCAUGGAGGCCCCAAAAUUCUUUUACCGAGUCGGAUCUCCCGAAAAUUUGGUGAACAGGGUUCAGAACAGACAUACAAGAUUGUAUACAUCUAGUGUAUACGAAAGUGGAAAAUGGGCCUAAAAUCCCCAAAUUUCAAAAAAAUAAUUAAAAAAAAUAAUAAUUGUAUUUUGUUAUUAUUGGGCCUAAGGCCCAAAGAAAAAUAUUUCUUUUACGUUAGUAUAGGACAGGUAAUGGUGACUCAAAUGGGCCGAAGGCCCAAAAUGAAAAUGGGCCCAAGUACUGGUCCAGGCGGACAGAAAAACCAUACUUGGGCCCAAGUCUCUUUCCCUAUUCAUUUUUAUUAUGUUUAUUUGCUUGCUAAAUAUUUGUCGUUAAUCUUAAGGUUGAAAAUAUUCAAAUCCCCGAAAGACACCCAUUUUGAAUUAAUUACUUAACUAAAUUACUCAUCUUUCACUUGACUUAAAAAAUAAAUAAAUAAGUUUACGAAAUACCUCACUUAGAUAAUAUUUCACUAUUUUUCCCUUAAAAUUGUCCUAACUAUGAAAUAUGUUUAAUUAAAAUUAAGUCAACAAUUUUUAGCCAAAUAAAUUAAUUGUCGGAUAACCGCAUUAGCGGAUAUUUUAGGUGCUUUAAAAACCUUCCUAGAAUAUUAAUAAGAACCCCGAACCCUUUUAAAUAUUUUCAAUUGAUUUCCUGUUUUAAUCUAUUGUAAAUCAGUUUUUCUUGAUUUUUCUUAAAAAUUAAGUGGCGACUCUUAAACCAGUCCAAAAUAUAUUUUCUAAAUAAAACAGGUAGGUGACCUUUAGAUUUCCAUCUUGGCAUCAACUUCAUCAAUCCUGGUCGAUUUUAUUUUAAGGGUCCGUUAAAUAAAAUUGGGGCCUAAUGUUGUUCUUCAUUAUCUGAAUACUUGACAAUAACAGGGUAAGCAAAGCCAUGUGAAGCUUCAUGUGCUAUUGUCUCUCACAUUUAAUUUGGAUAUCAAACUUACCACUAACUUUGUAUAUAUACACAUACAUAGAAAGUCUGUUUGUGCAAAACACAAGUCUUACUUGCUGUGUAUUACUCAAAAUCGUUCAUUCCUUUUCUUUUUAACUCAUCAUUUGAAGUUACAAAAGUAUCUCGCAAUGGUUAUCAAAAUGAGUCCCCUUAUUCAAGGUACAAGAAUCUUGAGGAGGUUUUCAAAUUCCGGAGGUGUUCCAAAAGGACAUUGUGUAGUAUAUGUAGGAGAGAGCCAGAAGAAGAGAUUCGUCGUGCCAAUAGCUUACUUGAGCCAACCUUUAUUUCGGGACUUGUUAACUCAAGCUGAAGAACAGUUUGGCUUCGAUCAUCCAAUGGGCGGUCUCACAAUACCUUGCAAAGAAGACGUGUUUGUUGAUCUCACAUCCCGCUUGAGAUCAUGAAUUGUAUCAAAGUGAAAAUUCUCUUGCACACGAAAUUUUGUAGAUUAGUAGACUUAGAUUUUAGAAAGAGGAAGUUUUACUGUAUAGUUCAGAAACACAAAAUCAAUAGAAGUUGUUUCCAUGAUCAAUUUAUAAAAAGCAGAAGUGCUUUUUCUUAUAAUCACUAUUUUGCUUAUAUUUUCUAAAACAAUGCUGUUAUUCAUUUAGAAUUGCACUGUGUGGAGCAAACUAGCACAUCCAAGAAAUUAUCAUUUGAGCGGAAUGAGAAUGACAUCUGUGAUAAGUAACAAGAAAUUACGUAGCGGAACCAAGUCAUCAGCUUUAUCUAUACUUGACGCUUUAAAUUUUUAGGAUGUCCUUGAUUCCAAGUUAUGAGAAUUGAGAAGCAAUGAGGCCUACUAUUCAAUAAGUUUAGUCUCUGUAUAUUUGGAUAAACUUUUGGAUGUAAGACUUGCCAUAAACUUGUUCAUACACAGUGCAAAAACUUUCCUUUUCUGUGCAUUUCUCAAGAUUAUGUGUUACUUGUUCAUUCUUAUAACAUCAGUUAGAGUUAAAAAUCAUAUCUUGAAAGAAGAGGAAUUAUCAAAUGACCGUACUUAUUCAAUCUAAUCAAAUUUUAAGGAUGUCUGCAGUUGUUUCAUUAUCAUACUUGAGUCUUCCAUUAGAUUUUAAGACAUUUUUUUGCUCGUAGUGUUUUAUUACCUAAUUACUUCUGAAAAUACUACAAAAUGUUCACACUGGAUGCUAACUUAGAAGACAAGCAUUGCGGUACAUCUGAUGUCGUUGUCUCUCAUCUCUGCCACCCUAAUGCAGAUACUUCAGCAAAGCCUCAUUAGAACAUACUAAUGCAUAUACUUAAAAUUAGGCAUAGUUGAUUGACUGAUCAUUUAGACCUUAUUCGAUCAAGGAGGUACCACAGUAAGUGAAAUGCUUGCGAUAAACAAAGUGGUGUUAAUACAUAAGUGGUACCAAUUCAGGAUCAGAUAGUUAAGUCUACUGAUAACCAAAUUUAAAAGUGAAAGCUGUGGAUAUAUAUGGUAAAUUUUCUGAUAAAAUAAUAUUCAAUCUGUAUGAUGUGCUUUACAAUUGUGUUCUUCAGUCUAUGCUGUAUCUAAAAACUAUUUUGAGCUAUCAUGUAUUAAAAAAGAUGUUGACUAUAACUCAACAAACAAGAAGUACUUUGUUUCCACUUUCUUGGUGUGAAUAUGAAGUUGAAUAGCAACAUGAAGGAAUUGAAAGGAGCAAUGCUUUGUGAAGAUCUCCUGCAGUUACGCCUUUCUUAACUAGAGAAAUGAUGUAGUCCAUGAAGGCUGAAUCACAAGGUAAUGUAAUAGGACCACCACUCGGCAGCCCAAAUUCUUCUUCGGACAUGUUUAAAAGUUGUCUGAAUGGACUCAUUUUCAAGAUAAGCCAAGGGAAUCACAAAGCGUACUUGAUCGAUUGUAUAUAAUACAAAAUGGCCUUUUUCAACAAUAGAGGAUGCUGAUGUACUGCAACUGUCUGCAUCACUGCCAUUACUUGGAAAUGAAAUCCUCUUCCUUUGCAUGGCUGCAAACUUCUGCCAUUUCCUAACCAUUUUGAUGAGUUUCUUAGUACUGAUUAUUGCCAUUUUUUUGUUUGGAAGAUUGGAAAAAAGUAAGUAAAUAAGAGAAACUUUUGAUGGCUGAAUUGAUAAUGAAAAGGCUCAUGAAAGAGGGCUUAUUUAUACAAGAGGAGCUGAUAAGUUUGUUAGGCAAAGCCAUGUGCUGAUGCCUGUUGGCCUAAAAUUUGUGGAUGAAGCUAAGUUUGAAUAUAAAUGAAGAUAAGUUUCUUCCUUUCUUCUCUUUGAUCAACUAGGCCUACUUGGUAUUUCUCAGCAAUGGCAAUAAUAUUGAGAACAUUAAAUGAAUAAUAGCUGGUGAGAAACAAAACCAUGUUCUGCUCUCUUCUUUGUCAUGUAGAUAGGUGACCUUAAGAUUUCCAUCUUGGCAUCAACUUCAUCAAUCCUUGUCGAUUUUAUUUUAGGUGUAUCCGUAAAAUAAAAUUGGGGCCUUAUGUUGUUUUUCAACAAAUUUAUUGUCUGAAUACUUGACAAUAUAUAACAGGGUAAGCAAAGUCAUGUGAAGCUUCAUGUGCUAUUGUCUCUCAACAGUGGCCACCAAAUCCUUUUCAUAAUUAAACUUGGAUAUGAAACUUACCACUAACUUUGUAUAUAUUCACAUCCAUAGAAAGUUUUUUAUGCAAAACACAAGUCUCACUUGCUGUGUAUUACUCAAAAUCCUUCAGUCUUUUUCAUUUAAAGUCAUCAUUUGAAGUUACAAAAGUAUCUACCUAUGGGUAUCAAAAUGAGUCCCCUUAUUCAAGGAACUAGAAUCUUGAGGAGGUUUACAAACUCCGGAAGUGUUCCACAAGGACAUUGUGCAGUAUAUGUAGGAGAGAGCCUGAAGAAGAGGUUCGUUGUGCCAAUAUCUUACUUGAGCCAGCCUUUAUUUCAAGACUUGUUAACUCAAGCACAAGAACAGUUUGGCUUCGAUCAUCCAAUGGGCGGUCUCACAAUACCUUGCAAAGAAGAUGUGUUUGUUGAUCUCACAUCCCGCUUGAGAUCAUGAAUUAUAUCAAAGUGCAAAUUCUCUUGCACAUGAAAUUUUGUAAAGUAGUAGUAGGACUUAGAUAUUAGAAAGAGUAAAAUCCACUGUAUAGUUCAGAAACACAAGGAACUAGAAAAUUUCUUCGAUGAUCAAUUUAUGAAUAGAAAAAGUGCUGGUUCUAAUAAUCACUAAUUAGGUAGUAUUUGCUAAAACAAUUCCGUCGUAAACAAAAUAAUUAAGCCCCAGCUUGCAACAGUUACACCGUAUGGCACAAACUAGUACAUCGAAGAAAGUACCAUUUAGCGGAAUAAGAAUGUCAUUUGAGUUGUUUCUCACCAGCUCCAUCUAAAUUUCUCGAGUCUCGACUACUAAACUUUUGGAUGUGAGACUUGCCAUAACAUGUACAGUGCCAAAAUAUUUCCUUUUCUGUGCAUUUUUCAAGAUUAUUUGUUUCUUGUUGUUGUUUAAUACUAAAAUAGCAAGAUGAACUAAACCAGAAGAACACAGUUUAUUGAUCUUCAAGCUGAUUAAAUAAAUAAAGGAACAUCUUCUCCUGGAUCAGGAGCUGCAAACUCCCAAUUUUUCUCUAAGAAAUUUGAAUCUGCUAACAUGAAAUGACUUGGUAAAAAUGUCCGCCACUUGAUUUUCUGAUUCGCAAUAGAGUAAAACCACUUCACCGUUUUACUACACUUCCCUCAAGAAAUAAAACUUGAUGUUGAAGUGCUUGGUCCUUCCAUGAAACACAUGAUCUUUGGAUAUGGCUAUGACAGCUUGAAUAACCACAAGGAUCUCAGUGCUUUCUUCUUGCUCUAGCUGCAAAUUGAUCAAAUUUUCCUAAGCCAUAGUGCUUGAUUAACAGUAGCUGCUGCUGCGACGAAUUCUGCUUCAGCUGUUAGUUGUGUGCUACUAUUUCCUAUAAUAUUUUAUGAAUAGAAAAUGUUCAACUUUUGAUUAAUCUCCAUUUUAGUAAUAUUUGCUUAAAGAAUUCCCUUUAUCAUUUGAAAUUCUCCGUUGUACUUCACCUUGUAGUCCAACUAUAGAUGAUAAUAUGACGGUCAUUAGAUACAAUCCAUCAUAUCCUACACAGACCUUCAGAUGCACUGAUCCAUAGGUGCAACAGUAUGAUGAUGGACAGUAGUAAGACAGAACGAGUUAGACCAUAUAUCACAUGAAGCGCUCAAAAUACCAACAAUCUCUUGGAAUGAACGCAAAGGAUCCGUAUAAUGUAAUACUGAUUAGAUAAGACUAAGAUUUAGUUGCUGUAUUUGUUGUUACACUUAACAUUACUUCUGUUUUUUGUCAAUUGCUCUUUUAUUAGUUAAAGAUUUGUAUGACUGUGUUGGGGUAAAAGCGAGAUUUAGCAAGUGUACUAGUUUUAGACAACUUCUUCUUUCAGUUAAAAGAUAAACGGAUGUGAUUAGAACAUAAUAGAUACAGAUUGUUAGGACUUCUAAUAACCAAAUUGAAAAGUGAAAGCCAUGGAUAUGGUAAAUUUUCGGAUAAAAUAAUAUAUUCAAUCUGUAUGAUGCGCUUUACAAUUGUGUUCUUCAUUCUAUGUCCUAUCUAAAACAACUUUAUGCUAAAUGUUGAUUAUGACUCAACAAACAAGAAGCUGUUGGUUUCCACUUUCUUGGUGCAAAGAAGAAGUCGAACAACAACAUGAAGGAAUUGAUAGGAGCAAUGCUUUCUGAAAAUCUCCUGCAGUUACGCCUUUCCUUAUUAGCGAAAUGAUGUAGUCCAUGAAGGCUGAAUCACAAGGUAAUGUAAUAGGACCACCACUCAGAAGACCAAAUUCUUCUUCAGACAUGUUCAAAAGUUGCCUAAUGAUCUCAUUUUCAAGAUAAACCAAGGGAAUCAUGAAGCGCUUUUGAUCAAUUGUAUAUACUACAAAAUGUCCUUUUUCAACUAUAGGCGAUGAAGACGUACUACAAUCAUCUGCAUCGCUAACAUUUCUUGGAAAUGAAAUCCUCUUCCUCUGCAUGGCUGCAAACUUCUGCCAUUUCCUAACCAUUUUGAUAAGUUUCUUAGUACUGAUUAUUGCCAUUUUUUGUUUGGAAGAUUGGAAAAAAGAAAGUAAAUAAGCGAGACUUUUGAUGCCUGAAUUGAUAAUGCUUGUGCUUGAUGAUGAAAAGGCUCAUGAAAGAGGGCUUAUUAAUACAAGAGGAGCUGAUAAGGUUGUUAGGCAAAGCCAUGUGCUGAUGCCUGUUGGUAUGGGGCCUAACAUUUGUGGAUGAAGAAGCUAAGUUUGAAUAUAAAUGAAGAUAAGUUUCUUCCUUUCUUCUCUUUGAUCAACUAGGCCUACUUGAUAUUUCUCAGCAAUGGCAAUAAUUUGAGACCAUUAAAUGAACAACUGCUGGUGAGAAACAAAGCCAUGUUCUGCUCUCUUCUUUGUCAUGUAGAUUGGUGACCUUUAGAUUUCCAUUUCGGCAUCAACUCAUUUGUGGGUUUUAUUUCAAAUAAAAGAGGGGCCUAAUGUCGUUCUUCUACAAAUUUAUUGUCUGAAUACAGCAAAACCAUGUGAAGCUUCAUGUGCCAAUGUCUCUCACCAGUGGCCACCAAAUUCUCUUCACCAUUAAACUUGGAUAUGAAAUUUACCACUAACUUUGUAUAUAUACACACACAUAGAAAGUUUUUUUAUGCAAAACACAAGUCUAACUUGCUGUGUAAUUCUCAGAAUCCUUCAUUCUUUCUUUCAAGUCAUCAUUUGAAGUUAUAAAAGGAUCUCACUAUGGGUAUCAAAAUGAGUCCCCUUAUUCAAGGUACAAGAAUCUUGAGGAGGUUUUCAAAUUCCGGAGGUGUUCCAAAAGGUCAUUGUGCAGUAUAUGUAGGAGAGAGCCAGAAGAAGAGAUUCGUCAUGCCAAUAUCUUACUUGAGCCAACCUUUAUUUCAAGACUUGUUAACUCAAGCUGAAGAACAGUUUGGCUUCGAUCAUCCAAUGGGUGGUCUCACAAUACCUUGCAAAGAGGACGUGUUUGUUGAUCUCACAUCCCGCUUGAGAUCAUGAAUUGUAUCAAAGUGCAAAUUCUCUUGCACACGAAUUUUGUAGAUUAGUAGACUUUUUAGAUUUUAGAAAGAGGAGAUUUAGAGAGGAAGUUUUACUGUAUAGUUCAGAAACACAAGAAUCUAGAAGUAGUUUCCACGAUCAAUUUAUUAAUAGCAGAACUGCCGUUUCUUAUAAUCACUAUUUUAAUUGGUUAUAUUUGCUUGCAAACUAACACAUCCAAGAAAGUAUCAUUUAGCAGAAUAAGAAUGAAGUUUGUGAUAAGUAACAAGAAAUUACGUAGCGGAACCAAGUCAUUAGCUUUAUCUAUUCUUAAGGCUUUAAAUUUUUUAUGAUGUCCUUGAUUCUAAGUUAUGAGAAGCUGAGGCCUACUAUUCAACAAGUUUAGUGUCUGUAUACUUGGAUAAGCUUUUGGAUGUGAGACUUGUCAUAAACUUAUAUAUACACAGUGCAAAAACUUUCCUUUUCUGUGCAUUUCUCAAGACUAUGUGUUACUUAUUCAUUCUUACAACAUCAGUUAGAGUUAAAAAUCAUAUCUUGAAAGAAGAGGAAUUAUCAAAUGACUCUACUUAUUCAAUCUAAUCGAAUUUUAAGGACGUCCGUAGUUGUUUCAUUAUCAUACUUGAGUCUUCCAUUAGAUUUCAAGACAUUUUUUUGCUCAUAGUGUUUUAUUACCUAAUUACUUCUGAAAAUACUACUAAAUGUUCACACUGGAUGCUAACUUAGAAGACAAGCAUUGUGGUACUUCAGAUGUCGUUGUCUCUCAUCUCUGCCACCCUAAUGCAGAUACAUCAGCAAAGCCUGAUUAGAACAUACAUAAAAGGAGGCAUAGUUGAUUGAUUGAUCAUUUAGACCUCAUUCGAUCAAGGAGGUACUGCCGUUAGUGAAACGUUAACGAUAAACAAAGUGGUGUUAACACAUAAGAGGUACCAAUCGAGGAUUAGAUUGUUAAGUCUUCUCAUAACCAAAUGUAAAAGUGAAAGCCGUGGAUAUGGUAAAUUUUCUCCGAUAAAAUAAUAUUCAAUUUGUAUGAUCAGCUUUACAAUUGUGUUCAUCAGUGUAUGCCCUAUAUCUAAAAAACUAUUUUCAUCUAGCAUGUAUUAUGACUCAACAAACAAGAAGCUGUUGGUUUCCACUUUCUUGGUGCAAAGAAGAAGUCAAACAGCAAGAAGAAGGAACUGAUAGGAGCAACGCUUUGUGAAAAUCUCCAGCAGUUAUGCCUUUCUUGAUUAGCAAAAUGAUGUAGUCCAUGAGUUUCUUGGCACUAAUCAUUGCCAUUUUCUUUUCUAGAAGAUUGAAAACAAGAAAGUGAAUAACAAAUUUAGAGAUUUUUGAUGGCUGAAUUGAUAAUGCUUGUGCUUGAUGAUGAAAAGGCUCAUGGAAGAUGGAUUAUUUAUACAAGAGGAGCUGAUAAGUUUUUAAGGCAGAGCCAUGUCCUGAUGCCUGUUGGCCAUGUUAAUAUGGGGCCUUAAAUUUGUGGAUGAGGCUAAGUUUGAAUAUGAAAGAUGAUAAGUUUCUUCCUUUCUUCUCUUUAAUGAACUAGGCCUACUUGGUAUUUCUCAGCAAUGCCAAUAAUAUGAGACCAUUAAAUGAACAAUUGCUGGUGAGAAGCAAAACCAUGUUAUUAUCUCUUCUUUGUCAUGUAGAUAGGGGACCUUUAGAUUUCCAUCUUGGCAUUAACUUCAUCAAUCCUUGUCGAUUUUAUUUUAAGGGUAUCUGUUAAAUAAAAUUGGGGCCUAAUGUUGUUCUUCAACAAAUUUAUUAUCUGAAUACUUGACGGUAACAGGGUAAGCAAAGCCAUGUGAAGCUUCAUGUGCUAUUGUCUCUCAUCAGUAGCCACCAAAUCCUCUUAAUCAUUAAAUUUGGAGACUAACUUUGUAUAUAUACACACACAUAGAAAGUUUUUUACGCAAAACACAAGUCUCACUUGCUGUGUAUUUCUCAAAAUCCUUCAUUCUUUCUUUUUAGUCAUCAUUUGAAGUUAUAAAAGGAUCUCACUAUGGGUAUCAAAAUGAGUCCCCUAAUUCAAGGUACUAGAAUCUUGAGGAGGUUUUCAAACUCUGGAGGUGUUCCUAAAGGGCAUUGUGCAGUAUAUGUAGGAGAGAGACAGAAGAAGAGAUUUGUCGUGCCAAUAUCUUACUUGAGCCAGCCUUUAUAUCAAGACUUGUUAACUCAAGCUGAAGAACAGUUUGGCUUCGAUCAUCCAAUGGGUGGUCUCACAAUACCUUGCAAAGAGGACGUGUUUGUUGAUCUCACAUCCCGCUUGAGAUCAUGAGUUGUAUCAAAGUGCAAAUUCUCUUGCAUAGAAAUUUUGUAAAGUAGUAGACUUAGAGACUAGAAAGAGGAGAUUUAGAGAGGAACUUUCACUGUAUAGUUCAGAAACACAAGAAUCUAUAGAACUUGUUUCCAUGAUCAAUUUAUGAUGGCAGAAGUGCUGUUUCUUACAAUCACUAUUUUCGUUAUUUUUGCUAAAACAAUGCUGUUAUUUAUUUAGAAUUUUUCUGCUAAGCAAAUAAUAGUUUGCACUGUGUGGUUCAAAUUAGCACAUCCAAGAAAGUAUCAAUUAGCGGAAUAAGAAUGAAGUUAGUGAUAAGGAACAAGAAAUUAUGUAGCGGAGCCAAAUCAUCAGCUUUAUCUAUACUUAUGGCUUUAAUUUUUUUGGAUGUCCUUGAUUCCAAGUUAUGAGACUUGCCAUAAACUUAUAUACACACACAAAGUAUUUGAGCAGAACACAGUACAGAAAGCUUUCCUUUUUUGUACAUUUUUCAAGAUUAUGUGUUCCUUGUUUAUUCUUAGAUCAUCAGUUAGAGUUAAAAAUCAUAUCUGGAAAGAAGGGGAGUUAUCAAAUGACUCCACUUAUUCAAAUUUUAAGGAUCUUUAGUUGUUCUAAUAUCAUACUUGAGUUUGCCUUUAGAUUGCAAGACUUGUUAGCUCAUAUUGUUUGUUUUAUCACCUAAUUGCUUCUGAAAAUACCACAAAAUAUUCACACAGGAUGUUAACUUAGAAGACAAGCCCUGCGAUACUUCAGAUGACGUUGUCUCUCAUCUCUGCCACCGUAAUGCAGAUACUUCAGCAAUGCCUGAUUAAAACAUACUAAUGCAUAUACAUAAAAGGAGGCAUAGUUGAUUGAUUGAUCAUUUAGACCUCAUUCGAUCAAGGAGGUACUGUAGUAAGUGAAACGCUAACGAUAAACUAAGUGGUGUUAAUACAUAAGAGGUACCAAUCGAGGAUUAGAUUGUUAAGUCUUCUCAUAACCAAAUGUAAAAGUGAAAGCCGUGGAUAUGGUAAAUUUUCUCUGAUAAAAUAAUAUUCAUUAAUCUGUAUGAUGCGCUUUACAAUAAUGUUCAUCAGUGUAUGCCCUAUCUUAAAAAACUAUUUUCAGCUAGCAUGUAUUAUGACUCAACAAACAAGAAGCUGUUGGUUUCCCAAUUCUUGGUUUAAAGAUGAAGUUGAACAGCAACAAGAAGGAAUUGAGAGGAGCAAUGCUUUGUGAAGAUCUCCAGCAGUUACGCCUUUCCUUAUUAGCAAAGUGAUGUAGUCCAUGAAGGCUGAAUCACAGGGUAAUGUAAUAGGGCCACCACUCGGUAGCCCAAAUUCUUCUUCGGACAUGUUCAAGAGUUGCCUAAUGAUCUCAUUUUCAAGGUAAACCAAUGGAAUGACAAAGCGAACUUGGUCAGCUGUAUAUACUACAAA
rnacentral:lncRNA from 1 species